GCCUGCGUGGCGGAGUGGUUAACGCGCGAGUCUCGAAAACUCGUUUCCUCACGGAUGCCUAGGUUCGAAUCCUAGCGCAGGCG
rnacentral:tRNA from 1 species